UACAGAGGGUGCGAGCGUUGUUCGGAAUUACUGGGCGUAAAGGGCUCGUAGGCGGCCAACUAAGUCCGACGUGAAAUCCCCAGGCUUAACCUGGGAACUGCGUCGGAUACUGGAUGGCUUGAAUCCGGGAGAGGGAUGCGGAAUUCCAGGUGUAGCGGUGAAAUGCGUAGAUAUCUGGAGGAACACCGGUGGCGAAGGCGGCAUCCUGGACCGGCAUUGACGCUGAGGAGCGAAAGCCAGGGGAGCAAACGGG
rnacentral:rRNA from 1 species